rnacentral:rRNA from 1 species
AACGAACGCUGGCGGCAUGCCUAACGCAUGCAAGUCGAACGAGACCUUCGGGUCUAGUGGCGCACGGGUGCGUAACGCGUGGGAACCUGCCCUUAGGUUCGGAAUAACUCCCCGAAAGGGGUGCUAAUACCGGAUAAUGUCUUCGGACCAAAGAUUUAUCGCCUUUGGAUGGGCCCGCGUUGGAUUAGCUAGUUGGUAGGGUAAAAGCCUACCAAGGCGACGAUCCAUAGCUGGUCUGAGAGGAUGAUCAGCCACACUGGGACUGAGACACGGCCCAGACUCAUACGGGAGGCAGCAGUGGGGAAUAUUGGACAAUGGGCGAAAGCCUGAUCCAGCAAUGCCGCGUGAGUGAUGAAGGCCUUAGGGUUGUAAAGCUCUUUUACCCGGGAUGAUAAUGACAGUACCGGGAGAAUAAGCUCCGGCUAACUCCGUG